GAAAUCUUGAAAACUGAAAUUUCAGUAGAAAGGAUCUCUUCCUCCUCAUUUUGAGGAAAAUGUGAUCUUUUUGAUACAGGAAGAUGUCUGUUGCUUUUAAUCAGGGAAAUGCCAUGAGAGGUAAGGGAUUCAUGUUAAUCCCCUCUUCCUUAUAACACAGGGCCAAAUUUUCCAUCCCCAGACUGAAAAGAUCAGUAAACUAAUACUUCCCUCAUCCAGGCCAUCAGGCAACUAAGAAUAACCAGAAAAAUACUCUUUUCAUUGACUUUAUUAGUCUUUGAGACAAAAUCGUAGAAUAAAAUACCGGCUUUCCUCUUAACUUUUAACACAUGAAAAAGAUAUUAAUGUAGUAAUUUCUACAUCCUAAUCCACACACACCGAAGGAAUAGUUUUUUUUAUUUAGUUAGUCUUAAGUGCUGUUGAAUUAAAACUAGAAUAAGUAUUGUUUCUUUCCAGACUGCUUCAUUAUAGGGAGCUUUUAACCUGAAUGACUUUCCCAUAAAAUUUCUAACUGGUAGAAGCAGCCUUUCCUAUAUAGCACUAAUUUAAAGAAACAGUAGUGAUUGUGGAAAAAAAAAACCAAAACCUGAAAGUUUUAUGGCUUAAAUGGAUACAGUGAGAUUGAUUUAUGAACUACACAAUAAAUAUGUGGAAUGAUAAUCCAAAAUGAUUGUCCACUGUGCCAUCUGAAGAGAUUAAUUUUCACCUAACAUUCAUCUAAGCAUAACUAUAUCAGUGUCAAGCUAGAUGAGCAGACACUGCUUUCACAUGCCUUGAUAAAUACAAGUUAGAAUGUACAUGUUGUUAGAAAUGCAUAAGAAACAGGUAAAUGGGAGUUUCAAAAGAAUUAGUAUAAUUUUACCUUCUUUAUUUAUUUUGAUUAUUAUUGUUUUUAUAUUGCUAGUACUUAAACAAGAGAAGUCUCAAUUGCAAUAUUCUGUAAUGAAAUACGUUCAUCACAAAUGUUGGGAACUGUCCACCAGAACAUAUGGCUGUACAUCAACUCCUGGGCUGUAGCUGCAGCAACGGAUCAUUCCAGGCUUCAGUUUGAUACAAGAGCACAGAGAAGCUUUAGUGUAUAUCAGCACCCAUCAGUACUACCUUGGAUUCAGAUGGUGAUCAGUCAAAGCAGCUUUGCAUGAAGGGUGCAUAGAUUUUCUGUUGUAAAUAGAAUUAGUGAGAUUUUCUUUUCCCCCAUAGAAUGCUCCCAUUGUUGAAAAGCCAAAGUAUCAAAAGUACUUUGGUGAGGAGCCACAGAGGAAACAAAUCAGCUUGAAGAAAUUGCGUUUUGAAGCAAGCAUAGGAAAUAAGCUCCUGUGAUUGAAACAGGAAAUACAGACUUUUGUGGUUUGAUAUAGCUUCUAAUUUCACUAUACUGAGUAAAGGGAAAACACAUUAUAAAGGUCUCGAUUGAAUUUAAAGGAAGUUGGUUU
rnacentral:lncRNA from 1 species